AGGAAAAAAGAGAAUUGAUUCUUUGGGACGGAAGGCAAUAAAGGCCUUUGUCUCCCCUUCCAGUGCAUUUGUUUGCCGAAGUAAAUGAACUUACUUAAACUGAUAGAGAUGCUUUCUUCAUAUCUGAAAAGAAUAUAUCGCACUACUUUAGAAAGCAGUAUAAAUCACUUAUCUUCUACUGAAACACAAACUGUGGCCCAGCUCUUUAAAAGAAGACACGUGAUAGAUUGAUCUUGG
rnacentral:misc_RNA from 1 species